rnacentral:rRNA from 1 species
GAAACCCGGUGAUCUAGCCAUGGGCAGGUUGAAGGUUGGGUAACACUAACUGGAGGACCGAACCGACUAAUGUUGAAAAAUUAGCGGAUGACUUGUGGCUGGGGGUGAAAGGCCAAUCAAACCGGGAGAUAGCUGGUUCUCCCCGAAAGCUAUUUAGGUAGCGCCUCGUGAAUUCAUCUCCGGGGGUAGAGCACUGUUUCGGCAAGGGGGUCAUCCCGACUUACCAACCCGAUGCAAACUGCGAAUACCGGAGAAUGUUAUCACGGGAGACACACGGCGGGUGCUAACGUCCGUCGUGAAGAGGGAAACAACCCAGACCGCCAGCUAAGGUCCCAAAGUCAUGGUUAAGUGGGAAACGAUGUGGGAAGGCCCAGACAGCCAGGAUGUUGGCUUAGAAGCAGCCAUCAUUUAAAGAAAGCGUAAUAGCUCACUGGUCGAGUCGGCCUGCGCGGAAGAUGUAACGGGGCUAAACCAUGCACCGAAGCUGCGGCAGCGACACUAUGUGUUGUUGGGUAGGGGAGCGUUCUGUAAGCCUGUGAAGGUGGCCUGUGAGGGUUGCUGGAGGUAUCAGAAGUGCGAAUGCUGACAUAAGUAACGAUAAAGCGGGUGAAAAGCCCGCUCGCCGGAAGACCAAGGGUUCCUGUCCAACGUUAAUCGGGGCAGGGUGAGUCGACCCCUAAGGCGAGGCCGAAAGGCGUAGUCGAUGGGAAACAGGUUAAUAUUCCUGUACUUGGUGUUACUGCGAAGGGGGGACGGAGAAGGCUAUGUUGGCCGGGCGACGGUUGUCCCGGUUUAAGCGUGUAGGCUGGUUUUCCAGGCAAAUCCGGAAAACCAAGGCUGAGGCGUGAUGACGAGGCACUACGGUGCUGAAGCGACAAAUGCCCUGCUUCCAGGAAAAGCCUCUAAGCAUCAGGUAACAUCAAAUCGUACCCCAAACCGACACAGGUGGUCAGGUAGAGAAUACCAAGGCGCUUGAGAGAACUCGGGUGAAGGAACUAGGCAAAAUGGUGCCGUAACUUCGGGAGAAGGCACGCUGAUAUGUAGGUGAAGCGACUUGCUCGUGGAGCUGAAAUCAGUCGAAGAUACCAGCUGGCUGCAACUGUUUAUUAAAAACACAGCACUGUGCAAACACGAAAGUGGACGUAUACGGUGUGACGCCUGCCCGGUGCCGGAAGGUUAAUUGAUGGGGUUAGCGGUAACGCGAAGCUCUUGAUCGAAGCCCCGGUAAACGGCGGCCGUAACUAUAACGGUCCUAAGGUAGCGAAAUUCCUUGUCGGGUAAGUUCCGACCUGCACGAAUGGCGUAAUGAUGGCCAGGCUGUCUCCACCCGAGACUCAGUGAAAUUGAACUCGCUGUGAAGAUGCAGUGUACCCGCGGCAAGACGGAAAGACCCCGUGAACCUUUACUAUAGCUUGACACUGAACAUUGAGCCUUGAUGUGUAGGAUAGGUGGGAGGCUUUGAAGUGUGGACGCCAGUCUGCAUGGAGCCGACCUUGAAAUACCACCCUUUAAUGUUUGAUGUUCUAACGUUGGCCCGUAAUCCGGGUUGCGGACAGUGUCUGGUGGGUAGUUUGACUGGGGCGGUCUCCUCCUAAAGAGUAACGGAGGAGCACGAAGGUUGGCUAAUCCUGGUCGGACAUCAGGAGGUUAGUGCAAUGGCAUAAGCCAGCUUGACUGCGAGCGUGACGGCGCGAGCAGGUGCGAAAGCAGGUCAUAGUGAUCCGGUGGUUCUGAAUGGAAGGGCCAUCGCUCAACGGAUAAAAGGUACUCCGGGGAUAACAGGCUGAUACCGCCCAAGAGUUCAUAUCGACGGCGGUGUUUGGCACCUCGAUGUCGGCUCAUCACAUCCUGGGGCUGAAGUAGGUCCCAAGGGUAUGGCUGUUCGCCAUUUAAAGUGGUACGCGAGCUGGGUUUAGAACGUCGUGAGACAGUUCGGUCCCUAUCUGCCGUGGGCGCUGGAGAACUGAGGGGGGCUGCUCCUAGUACGAGAGGACCGGAGUGGACGCAUCACUGGUGUUCGGGUUGUCAUGCCAAUGGCACUGCCCGGUAGCUAAAUGCGGAAGAGAUAAGUGCUGAAAGCAUCUAAGCACGAAACUUGCCCCGAGAUGAGUUCUCCCUGAGACUUAGAGUCUCCUGAAGGAACGUUGAAGACGACGACGUUGAUAGGCCGGGUGUGUAAGCGCAGCGAUGCGUUGAGCUAAC